rnacentral:rRNA from 1 species
UACGUAGGGUGCAAGCGUUAAUCGGAAUUACUGGGCGUAAAGCGUGCGCAGGCGGUUUUGUAAGUCUGAUGUGAAAUCCCCGGGCUCAACCUGGGAAUUGCAUUGGAGACUGCAAGGCUAGAAUCUGGCAGAGGGGGGUAGAAUUCCACGUGUAGCAGUGAAAUGCGUAGAGAUGUGGAGGAACACCGAUGGCGAAGGCAGCCCUCUGGGUCAAGAUUGACGCUCAUGCACGAAAGCGUGGGGAGCAAACAGG